GAAAGAUGAAAAGAACUUUGAAAAGAGAGUUAAACAGUACGUGAAAUUGUUGAAAGGGAAACGAUUGAAGCCAGUCGUACCUUCGGGUAAUCAGCCUUUCGGGUGCGAUUCUGUGGAGUGUGAGGAGCUUAACACCUUCAUGCUUUGCAUAUUUGUGCUCUUGGGUGUACUUGCCCGUGUGGUUGGUUAACAUCAAUUUUAAUUAUCAUAAAAUGACUGGAGGAAUGUAGCUUCGAUCUCGUAUUGAAGUGUUAUA
rnacentral:rRNA from 1 species